rfam:Gossypium raimondii chromosome 3, whole genome shotgun sequence.
AUCUCGUGAUGAGGGCAUCUACGUUGUAACUCCUUGAAUCUUUCCCAUGCCUCAUAUAAGGACUCGUCAUCCAAUUGUUGAAAAGUGGUGAUCUCAUUCUGUAACU